AAAUAUUGUGAACCUUAAUUAUUAGUAGCUAGGUUCUUGAAAAUUAAUAAAGAUGGCGGUAUUUUAGUCUAUUCAGAGGAAUCUGCCCUGUGAUUGAUGCUCCACGAUUUAAAUUACUUACACUUUAAGCUUACAUAUCGCUGUAGGUUGAAUAUUUUUACUGAAUUGAAAAUAUUCACAGGUUUGAGAGAAAGGAUAUCAAGUCAAGAUGUAGCUUAUGUUUAAGGAGAGGUGGAUUACACUACCGAUAUUUGUGGUUAGUAGUUUGAAAUGGCUGCUAUAAAAUGGAUUUGAUAGUAAUUUUUUAUUAAGAUUUGAAAAAUGAUUCUGGCU
rnacentral:rRNA from 1 species